AACCAUUCUCACCUGCGGCUAGACCUGCGGAGGGAUCAUUACACAAUACAAUAUGAAGGCUGUCCGCAGCUGGAGUAUUUUAUUACCCUUGUCUUUUGCGCACUUGUUGUUUCCUGGGCGGGUUCGCUCGCCACCAGGACCACCAAAUAAACCUUUUUUAUGCAGUUGCAAUCAGCGUCAGUACAAACAAUGUAAAUCAUUUACAACUUUUAGCAAUGGAUCUCAGAUCGGAAGAGCACA
rnacentral:misc_RNA from 1 species